UGAAAUGUGUGCAUGAGAGCACUGGUCCUUC
rnacentral:piRNA from 1 species